rnacentral:snoRNA from 1 species
AUCCAUCUCUAACAAACCUGGAGCAGUUAAUGGCUGCUGCUCAGGUUUCCAAAAUAGGUGCAAGAAAAAGAAGGUCCUCACACUUUCUGCCUGUCUGGUCGUGGCAGCUAAGAUCUAAUGGGGGAAUACAGGA